CCUCUCUUAGGAUCGCAACUGGAGAGUUUCCAGUACUCUACCAGUCUCGGCUUUGGGAGGGAGAGUCAAGCAGAGACAUACCCAUUCCAUUCCUAGCUUGGGCAGUGGCUAGCGAGAGUGGAAGUCCAUCGGCUACAAGU